rnacentral:rRNA from 1 species
UACAGAGGGUGCGGGCGUUAAUCGGAAUUACUGGGCGUAAAGCGUGCGUAGACGGUUAUGUAAGUCGGGUGUGAAAGCCCCGGGCUCAACCUGGGAAUUGCAUUCGAGACUGCGUAGCUAGGGUGCGGAAGAGGGAAGCGGAAUUUCCGGUGUAGCGGUGAAAUGCGUAGAUAUCGGAAGGAACACCAGUGGCGAAAGCGGCUUCCUGGUCCAGCACCGACGUUCAGGCACGAAAGCGUGGGGAGCAAACAGG